GCUGGGUAUGGUGGCGUGCGCCUGUAAUCCCAGCUACUAGGGAGGCUGAGACAGGAGAAUCGCUUGAACCCAGGAGGCGGAGAUUGCAGUGAGCUGAGAUCACUCCACUGCACUUCAGCCUGGGUGACAGAGCGAGAUUCUGUCUCAA
rnacentral:SRP_RNA from 1 species